GUCUCGAUCCAGGUCCUCCUGGUCCAAAUUCUCCUCCUGGCCCAAAUGGUCCUCCUGGUCCAAAUGGUCCUCCUGGUCCAAAUGGUCCUCCAGGUCCACUGUUUUCUGGUCCAAAUUCUCCUCCUGGUCCAAAUGGUCCCCCUGGUCCAAAUGGUCCCCCAGGUCCAAAUGGUCCUCCUGGUCCUGAUCCAGGUCCUCCUGGUCCAAAUUCACCUCCUGGUCCAAAUGGUCCUCCAGGUCCAAAUGGUCCCCCUGGUCCAAAUGGUUCUCCACCAGGUCCGUGUCCCGGUCCAAAUUGUCCUCCUGGUCCAAAUGGUCCUCCAGGUCCAAAUGGUCCCCCAGGUCCAAAUGGUCCUCCUGGUCCUGAUCCAGGUCCCCCUGGUCCAAAUUGUCCUCCUGGUCCAAAUGGUUGCCCAGGUCCAAAUGGUCCUCCUGGUCCUGAUCCAGGUCCUCCAUGUCCAAGUCCAAGUGGGAAUCCAUGACCAUCUGGUCCAAAUCCUGAUCCAUCCCCAGGACCAAGUCCAUUAGGUCCAAGUCCAUGUCCUGCAGGCAGUCCAUUUGGUCCUAAUCCAUUACCUCCUGGUCCUAGUCCAUUACCGCCUGGACCUAAUCCAUUGCCAGGUCCAAACCCAUUAGGCCCACCUAAUCCAUGAGGCCAUGGACCAUUUUGACCAGAA
rnacentral:lncRNA from 1 species